AUUGAACGCUGGCGGAAUGCUUUACACAUGCAAGUCGAACGGCAGCACGGACUUCGGUCUGGUGGCGAGUGGCGAACGGGUGAGUAACAUAUCGGAACGUAUCCAAUAAUGGGGGAUAACUAAUCGAAAGGUUGGCUAAUACCGCAUACGCCCUACGGGGAAAGCUAGGGACCUUCGGGCCUGGCGUUAAUGGAGCGGCCGAUAUCUGAUUAGCUAGUUGGUGGGUAAAGGCCCACCAAGGCGACGAUCAGUAGCUGGUCUGAGAGGACGACCAGCCACACUGGAACUGAGACACGGUCCAGACUCCUACGGGAGGCAGCAGUUGGGGAAUUUUGGACAAUGGGCGCAAGCCUGAUCCAGCCAUUCCGCGUGAGUGAAGAAGGCCUUGGUGUAAGCUCUUUCGCAAGGAAGAAACUUAGGCUCUAACAUAGCCUGAGGUUGACGGUACCUUGAUAAGAAGGCACCGGCUAACUACGUGCCAGCAGCCG
rnacentral:rRNA from 1 species